rnacentral:lncRNA from 1 species
GCUGCUACUUAAAGAAGACCCACACUGGUACAGAUAAGGACUAAUGUGCUACUUGUGCUACUUCUCAUGCCUGGGCCUAUUGGGCUUGCCUAGGUCCCCCCACAUGCUGUGUGUCAUGUGUCCAUAGCUAACCCAUGCACCACCUUAAUGGACAGUGAGACUUGACAUAAAACUUUUUGUAUACCAAAUAGAUUCCACCCUUGAGCCUAAGGAUGGAUACCUUGGGGAUAGGACAGACAAAGCGCUUGCCCUCUUUUAAGAGGGACAGACAGACAUACCUGUGUCGGACAGACAAAUGAUCCUUAAGUUGCAGGCCUGGGAGCAAGAGUGAGGCAAAGCACGUGCAAGAGGGGGGUUGGCUGAGGGGGUGGAGAGGAGCCUGGGCUGCAGCUCUUUAUGGCCACUAUGCUGGCUUGGGUCUCUUACAAAGUCCCAGAUAAAGACAGCCCUUGGAGUUGGCAGCUGUCACUUUGCGCCUGUUCCUCCUCCUGGAGCUUCAGCUGGCCCCUAUUUGUAGAGACAUUGUUUGAAGACCAUUUGUGUGAGAGAGGAGAUGUUUUUCAAGAGUUGUAGCUGGUGUGGGGGUGUCAGUCAUCUGAGCAGUCACUCAGGAGAUGUGUCCUCAGUGGUGUGGGGUUUAGAAGCGACUGUUGACUCAAUGGGAAUAAACAACCUUCGUCUCUUUCUGGGCUGUAAGGGGGCUCAGGUACUGUAGAUAUUGAGUUACUUCGAAGGGCAGUUUGGUCCUCCAGCUGGGAAUAAAGAGAUCAUGUUUGUUCUUAGCUUGUUGACUGUACAGACAGGGUGUUUCAACUUACACAGUCCUCAAGUAUUGGGGUCUAGCAUGGUCCCUGAGACUGCUUCUCCUCUGAAACACUAGGACCUAAUGAUACACAUGAAGAUCUGGCUCUCUACAUCCCGAGGUGAACAUGGAGGUGGCGGGUGCAUGCUUAGCUUAUCCAGCCUAAUAUCUAGGAAGAAAAGGGCUUGUGCCGAUGUGGGCCAAUAGGGACUGUUUUUCUAAAAUACGAGAACUGAGCAGCAAGGCUGUUUUUGAUAAUAGCUGUCAUUAGCUGCGUCCCUAUACAUUCACAGCUAGCCCUGCGCUAGGCAAGUCCCACAGAUGUUUCUAUCCUUUUGCCUCUUUCAGUGGUCCGGGGAAGGGCAAUGGAACCCCCACCAUGAUUUUGGUUAUUUAUAUGUGCAAGGAAGGAUGACGGAACUGGAGUGGGGACAGGCCUGGACCUAGAAGGAGAAGGCUGUGCAGAUCAUAAGUGGUUGUGUAUGUGUGUGUCUGUCUGUCUCAGGGUUGACAAGUGGGAAGCAAUUUCUGUCCUUUACAGAAUUUGCUAGGAUGCCAGGGAAAGGGGAGCCUCCUCUCUGUCAUAUGCAGUAGCUCUGUACAGUAUUUAUGCGUUCCCUUUAGGUGUGGCCCCGGGCCAGGUGCACGGGGGCAGAGAGUCAGCUCUCAGCACGCCGUCCCUGCUCAGCGAUGAGAUUAGUGGGCGAGGCAGAACUUGUGCAAGUCAGAAUUACAUAAUGCUGCUGACAGCCGUCUUUGAGGGGCCUUGGGAAAGUACAGUGGGAGACUGGUGAGUAGCUUGGAGGUUGGAGCUUUGGGGAUGAUGUCACCCAGGUGUCCUAUAAAAGAGCAAAGCCCCUUCCAGGUGCCAGGAACAAUGCCUGGCAAUGCAUUCAGGAAGCACUGGGUUUUUGUGGUAUUUUUUUAUUUUUAUUUUAUUUUUUUGGUUAUAGAACUCAUGACUGAAGAUGGAGAGACAUCUCUGAGGCCUAAGAUUGCAUGGCACCCUCCACCCGGACCCCUCAUAUGUAUAUUUCCUUAGAGCAGCUUUUCUCAACCCUUGGGUUGUGACUCCUUUGGAGGUCAAACGACCUUUUCACAGGGGUCGCCUAAGAUCACUGGAAAACAGACAUUUACAUCAUAAUUCACAACAGUAGUAGUAAAGUUUCAGUUAUGAGGUAGCAAUGAAAAUAACUGUAUGGUUGGGGCUCACCACAAAUGAGGCACUCACUAUAUUAAAGCGUUGCAGCCUUAGGAUGGUGGAGAACCACUGGCCUAGAGCAUCAUAUCCUCCCUCCAAUAUAGGCUACUCUGAGGCCUUGGCCGAGAAUAUAGUACAGUGAUAGAGGGCUUGCCUAGCAUAUGCAAGAAAGAAAGAGAGAAAAAGAGAGAGAGAGAAAGAAAGAAAGAAAGAAAGAGAG